rnacentral:rRNA from 1 species
CAGAUGAACGCUGGCGGCGUGCCUAAUACAUGCAAGUCGAACGCUUUGUGGUUCAACUGAUUUGAAGAGCUUGCUCAGAUAUGACGAUGGACAUUGCAAAGAGUGGCGAACGGGUGAGUAACACGUGGGAAACCUACCUCUUAGCAGGGGAUAACAUUUGGAAACAGAUGCUAAUACCGUAUAACAAUAGCAACCGCAUGGUUGCUACUUAAAAGAUGGUUCUGCUAUCACUAAGAGAUGGUCCCGCGGUGCAUUAGUUAGUUGGUGAGGUAAUGGCUCACCAAGACGAUGAUGCAUAGCCGAGUUGAGAGACUGAUCGGCCACAAUGGGACUGAGACACGGCCCAUACUCCUACGGGAGGCAGCAGUAGGGAAUCUUCCACAAUGGGCGAAAGCCUGAUGGAGCAACGCCGCGUGUGUGAUGAAGGGUUUCGGCUCGUAAAACACUGUUGUAAGAGAAGAAUGACAUUGAGAGUAACUGUUCAAUGUGUGACGGUAUCUUACCAGAAAGGAACGGCUAAAUACGUGCCAGCAGCCGCGGUAAUACGUAUGUUCCAAGCGUUAUCCGGAUUUAUUGGGCGUAAAGCGAGCGCAGACGGUUAUUUAAGUCUGAAGUGAAAGCCCUCAGCUCAACUGAGGAAUUGCUUUGGAAACUGGAUGACUUGAGUGCAGUAGAGGAAAGUGGAACUCCAUGUGUAGCGGUGAAAUGCGUAGAUAUAUGGAAGAACACCAGUGGCGAAGGCGGCUUUCUGGACUGUAACUGACGUUGAGGCUCGAAAGUGUGGGUAGCAAACAGGAUUAGAUACCCUGGUAGUCCACACCGUAAACGAUGAGUGCUAGGUGUUUGAGGGUUUCCGCCCUUAAGUGUCGCAGCUAACGCAUUAAGCACUCCGCAUGGG